GGAGAGACUGCAUCAUCUGUGAGAUGGCAGGGUUCUGCAUCAUUUGAUUUAGCGAAGUAGUAUCAGGCAUGCCGCCUAGCAUUUGCUCCAAACCUGGGGAACCAAGCCCACCUAGGCCAAGUGGUGCACCCCUGGUAUCCCCAGCAGUAUUUGACCUAGCAGCGGUAUUGGCUUGGGCAGCUCCAGUGCCUGCAGAUGCCCAAGGAUUCGGAAGUGGAUUAGUAUUUGGGGCAGGCAGAUUAUCAGUAGUCUCAGAACCAGCAGUUGGAGGAUUAUUUGCCUGCUGUCUGCCUAGUCCACCUUGUGCUCCCAAAAGAGCUGCAAACGGGUUAGACCCCGCAUCAUUUCGCGUAUCUCCAGACAAUGUUGAUGCAUUUAGGAAUGGCUCCUGAACAUUUUCAUACAUACGCCUCAGCAUGUUAAAUCCCUCAGGAGAAGAUUCAAUAUUGCUCAUGGCCCUGUCUGUAUUGCGCAUCAUCUCACGCAUAAGU
rnacentral:misc_RNA from 1 species